rnacentral:rRNA from 1 species
AUUGAACGCUGGCGGAAUGCCUAACACAUGCAAGUCGAGCGGGGGUAGCAAUACUUCAGCGGCGGACGGGUGAGGAACACAUAGGAAUCUGCCUUUAGGUGGGGGAUAGCCAGGGGAAACUCUGGGUAAUACCGCAUGAUCUCGAGAGAGCAAAGGGGCGCAAGUCUCGCCUUUAGAGGAGCCUAUGUCUGAUUAGCUAGUUGGCGGUGUAAUGGACCACCAAGGCGAUGAUCAGUAACUGGUCUGAGAGGACGAUCAGUCACACCGGAACUGAGACACGGUCCGGACUCCUACGGGAGGCAGCAGUGGGGAAUAUUGGACAAUGGGCGAAAGCCUGAUCCAGCAAUUCCGCGUGUGUGAAGAAGGCCUUCGGGUUGUAAAGCACUUUAGUUGGGGAAGAAACAGCUUGGCCACACCAAGCCUUGACGGUACCCAAGAAUAAGCACCGGCUAACUCUGUGCCAGCCGCCGCGGUAAGAC